GGGCUCGUAGCUCAGCCUGGUUAGAGCACCCGGCUGAUAACCGGGUGGUCCGGGGUUCAAAUCCCCGCGGGCCCACCA
rnacentral:tRNA from 1 species